rnacentral:rRNA from 1 species
CCUACGGGUGGCAGCAGUGGGGAAUAUUGGACAAUGGGGGCAACCCUGAUCCAGCCAUGCCGCGUGUGUGAAGAAGGCCCUCGGGUUGUAAAGCACUUUCAGUGAGGAAGAACGCCUGGUGGUUAAUACCCAUCAGGAAAGACAUCACUCACAGAAGAAGCACCGGCUAACUCCGUGCCAGCAGCCGCGGUAAUACGGAGGGUGCGAGCGUUAAUCGGAAUUACUGGGCGUAAAGCGCGCGUAGGUGGCUUGAUAAGCCGGUUGUGAAAGCCCCGGGCUCAACCUGGGAACGGCAUCCGGAACUGUCAAGCUAGAGUGCAGGAGAGGAAGGUAGAAUUCCCGGUGUAGCGGUGAAAUGCGUAGAGAUCGGGAGGAAUACCAGUGGCGAAGGCGGCCUUCUGGACUGACACUGACACUGAGGUGCGAAAGCGUGGGUAGCAAACAGGAUUAGAUACCCCAGUAGGC